GACGUAGGGCGCGAGCGUUGUCCGGAUUUAUUGGGCGUAAAGAGCUCGUAGGCGGCUCGUUGCGUCGGCUGUGAAAACCCGCAGCUCAACUGUGGGCUUGCAGCUGAUACGGGCGGGCUGGGACUCGGUAGGGGAGACUGGAAUUCCUGGUGUAGCGGUGAAAUGCGCAGAUAUCAGGAGGAACACCGGUGGCGAAGGCGGGUCUCUGGGCCGAUAUCGACGCUGAGGAGCGAAAGCGUGGGGAGCGAACAGG
rnacentral:rRNA from 1 species